GGAGGAGCCCCGGCCAUCCAGCGGCUCUGCCUGGGAUGCUCAGCACGCCGGAUCCCUCGGGGCGGCUCACGGCUGCGCACACCCCGCAGCAACCCGGGCACCAAACAACCCCUGCGGCUGUCAAAACAUUGACGGGGUGCGCUGCAACACGUCCAGGGUCACAUCAUCUUGAAUGUAUUAACUCACAGUGACUUCUACUAAGCAGAAAAGCGCUCAUCUCUACUUUAAAGAUGGCAAAAGGACGAAAGCUGAGACCUACCAAUGAAGAAUUGAGUGUUCACAUUGUCUGGGCUCCAAGCCAGCGCAAUAUUUCAGUUACAAUCUGUAAAGCAUGCAGUCACUCAUCUACAUUGUUUCUGGAUUGGAGCUGGCACUUUGGAGCGAGUGGGAAGAACUCCCAGUUGUCUUCACCUAUCCACCUACCUGUGGAGAUGUGGAGGCACUGCUGGCUUCUGCUGCAAGGUGUGAAGAGUAACUGCACAGUGACAGAGUUCCUGCUUCACACAGGAUGCACUGAGAUGAGAUCCAAGGUGCAGAGAAGAUGUCAGGGAGUGUAGUAAAAGUUUGGAGAAAUGCAGAGGGGAAAGAGGCUGGUCAUGUGAAGUAGCUUAGGUUGCACAAGGCCAUGACACAGGUUCUUUUCGGAGUGUAGUUUAAGACAUAUUCUCACUCUUAAAGUCCUGCACUGUUUAAUAGUAGUAUUAGCCAGUUAAAAGGACGUCAGUUAAAUUAUGAACGUGAAUAUUUCUAAAACACACUGGUUCUGCUCCUUGAACAGACUCUGAAGAUCAGCAAAAGUUCAUGCCUAAACUCUGCUGACAUCCACAAAUUGGUUGUUCUGUUAGUUGUGCCCCAGAACACCUACAGCCUUGCAAUGGGCUACACAGUCAUUGAAUAACACUCGAGAAACGCCCUUGAUUUAUUCCCCCGAUUGCAGAGCAGAAAGAGGAGGAGGAGGCAGGCAGUGUGGGGGCUCUUGAAGGGAGAGAAGGAAGAGUUGGAGAUGGGCAGAUCACUCCCAGCUCCUGCCUUCCCUGCUGGAAAGAGUAGAAGAUGGAAAUGACCCACCUGGCUCCUUCCCUACCUGAAGGAUACAGCAUUCAACCACAUCAUCUCUGCUUGACAGGAAAGGGCUUGUGUUCGAUUCUCAGUUGUGCUUCCUCCGAGCCUCACACAGCUGCUUACUAAGGCAUGGGCACUGGGCAAGCAAGGAGGUGCUCUACUCCCACUGAAGUGGAAAAGCGGAGAAGGACACGCGCAUUGGUCAGGGCAGGAGAUGAUGCAAAUCACUGUGCAAACCCACAUGAGAAGUGGCUUCAGUAGGUGAAAAUAAGCAAUACCCCCCCUCCCUCAGACAUACUGUUUCAAUAUAAUAUACAGGAGAAAAAGAAGGAUCAAAGGGUGAUAGCAUAAAAUAAUAAAUAAAAAGUGUAGGGUUACACGGGAAUGUUUUUUUCAUGAUUAGUACAAUUUUUUUGUAAGGCUGCAUUUCUGACGCUGUACCCAUUAUUUAUAGACCCCCUUAGGGCAAUAAAUAUUGCGACUGAUAAUUGUAACAACAAUGACACAUGGCUAGCAAUGCAGCAGUACUGUGCGUGUGUGGGUUGGCACCCCACCUAGUACAGUAAGAUCUGGAUUGUGACUGUUUCAGCAAUAGUAAUACACUGUAACAAUAGCUGAAAUAUGAAAAAAAUGCUAGAGAAAAUACCACUAUUUUUUAAUACAGCAAUAUUUGAAGCAUCAAAUCUAUGGUGCCAUUUACAAAUGUACUCUCUGCAAAUUAAUCCAGCAAUGAAUGCCGCUUAGGUGCAAGUGAGUGCCUGUGCAGUCCAUUGAAACUCAGGGAUGAAGAAGAAGAGAAAAAUUGUCUACUUGCAUCUGCAGCAUGGAGAAGAAAUACACGGGUUAGCUCCAAGCAAGCUGCUUAAGGUGUUGAGGAGCAGCCAAGGCUGGAAAAUGGAGCUUAGCAAAAGCUGCCUGUGUGGCAUUCAUGGAAGACUCAGAUCUGUCAUAUAGAAGUCAAGUUCAGCCUGCAAGCUUUACA